AAAUAAAUAAACGUUUGCCCAUUUACAUUACAAAUUACAGUAAGCUCUCUAAAGCUUCAACCAAAUCGCCGGCGACUGUUGGAGUUUCUCCGGGAAGCAAAAGGUGUGCGACCGAGAGAAAUGGCACGAGGGUUGAUAUGGGCUACAGCAGAAGACUUGGCAAAGAAUAGGGGAAGAGUUCUGUCUUUGUAUAGGCAAAUCUUGAGGAGCCUUAACUCACCAGCUUUGCCAUUAAGCUUAGCAGUUAGACUUCAAAAGAAAGCUGAGGUCCGUGCCAUGUUCAUGUUGGGUUCCGAGGAGCAAUCUAUUCAUAACAUUCAAGAUCUUAUUGAUGCUGCUGAAUACUCUCUUUCCAUUUUAAAAAAAGGCAAAAUUCCAUAGCACAUUCAAGUUUGUCAAUAUAAGCCCGGACAAUUUUCUUUGGUCUAAAUUUGAGUAUUAUCAAAUGAGAAGAAACAAAACAUCAUUCUGAUGAAGAGAACAAGAUAAAUAACUCAUAGAAUUCCAAGGUUUGAAGCAGAUCAAAGUGAUAUCUAGUACUAGCAACUUAAAAGUCUUUGCUGAAGAUUUCUCUUGUGCAACAUGAGUCUCUAAUCAUCUCCAAAGAGGCUUCAGCAGCCUGUAAAUUAUACCAUUGAUGGAGGUAGACGAUAUAUGACAUUAUUCUGUUGCAGACUAUACACACGAGGAUAUCAGUAUGCGUCUGAAUUAUUUAUCAUUUUUUGUCCCCUGCAUACAGGCUGAAUUACAGAGAUGGAGAAUGACACAGAUGUUUAUAUAUGAUAAAACAAGAAGUUGAGACCUGAGAAUUAUUAGUAUUUGUAGUGAUUUCUUCUGUUUUGUGCUAUCAAAGUGUUAUUGAUGUGUUUUAUGUGCAUUCCAAAGUUAGUACUUUUGCUUUGUUUGAUACUUGGCUCAACUGUUUCCUGAUGUUAAAAUGGUUUAUUUCGUAUA